GAGUUUGAUCGUGGCUCAGAACGAACGCUGGCGGCAUGCCUAACACAUGCAAGUCGAACGGGAUCCGGGCUUCGGCCCGGUGAGAGUGGCGGACGGGUGAGUAACGCGUGGGAACCUGCCCAAUGGUCUGGGAUAACCGCGGGAAACUGCGGCUAAUACCGGAUAAGCCCGAGAGGGGAAAGAUUUAUCGCCGAUGGAGGGGCCCGCGUCCGAUUAGGUAGUUGGUGGGGUAAAGGCCUACCAAGCCUGCGAUCGGUAGCUGGUCUGAGAGGAUGAUCAGCCACACUGGGACUGAGAUACGGCCCAGACUCCUACGGGAGGCAGCAGUGGGGAAUAUUGGACAAUGGGGGCAACCCUGAUCCAGCAAUGCCGCGUGAGUGAUGAAGGCCUUAGGGUUGUAAAGCUCUUUUGGCGGGGACGAUGAUGACGGUACCCGCAGAAUAAGCCCCGGCUAACUUCGUGCCAGCAGCCGCAGUAAU
rnacentral:rRNA from 1 species